AAAAGAGAAAAAAAUCUCUCUUAUUUAUGAUUUUCGUUUGGUUAGAUUGAGUUAAAUUGAAUUUUUGUAUUUGUAUUUUCUACAGAGUCGGAGUCAAUGGUGACGAUGAGCCUUGUUUCGGCCGGUGGCCACCGUUUCCCUACGGGUCCUUGUUUAACGCCCACCGUAAGAAGAAGAGGUGGCAGAGUAAGAGCAGCUCUGGUGGAAGCAAGACCCAAAGCGAUGCCACCCCUCAGAGAUAUUACUUUAGCAAAAGCUGGAGAUCGAGUUGAUGACUUGCAGGCUGAGGCAAGAGCCAUGGCUCGUGCUGCCAACGCCUCCACCUACAGCCCCGAGCUUCUUGCACUUAAAUACGGCUCCAAGCCCAUCAAGGUAUUGCGGAGGACUCUUAAGAUUUUGAUAGCUCUUGGUUCAUUUGGCUUGGAACUAUGGCUGGACCAGAGGAAUGGGGUGUUUGAUCAAAAUAAGAGAAGGCGAGCUAUUGAACUAAGGAAAAUUUUCACUCAAUUAGGACCUACUUUUGUCAAGUUAGGGCAGGGAUU
rnacentral:misc_RNA from 1 species